GCCCCUCCUCUGCCCAGUCUGAGUGCAGGUCCAGCAGGAACACUGCUCUGGGUCUGCGGGGA
rnacentral:miRNA from 1 species